rnacentral:rRNA from 1 species
AGAGUUUGAUCCUGGCUCAGGAUGAACGCUAGCUACAGGCUUAACACAUGCAAGUCGAGGGGAAACGAUAGAGAAAGCUUGCUUUUUCUAGGCGUCGACCGGCGCACGGGUGAGUAACGCGUAUCCAACCUGCCCACCACUUGGGGAUAACCUUGCGAAAGUAAGACUAAUACCCAAUGAUAUCUCAAGAAGACAUCUGAAUGAGAUUAAAGAUUUAUCGGUGAUGGAUGGGGAUGCGUCUGAUUAGCUUGUUGGCGGGGUAACGGCCCACCAAGGCUACGAUCAGUAGGGGUUCUGAGAGGAAGGUCCCCCACAUUGGAACUGAGACACGGUCCAAACUCCUACGGGAGGCAGCAGUGAGGAAUAUUGGUCAAUGGGCGAGAGCCUGAACCAGCCAAGUAGCGUGCAGGAUGACGGCCCUAUGGGUUGUAAACUGCUUUUUAUAAGGGAAUAAAGUGAGUCUCGUGAGACUUUUUGCAUGUACCUUAUGAUUAAGGACCGGGCUAAUUCCGUGCCAGCAGCCGCGGUAAUACGGAAGGUCCGGGCGUUUAUCCGGAUUUAUUGGGUUUAAAGGGAGCGUAGGCCGGAGAUUAAGCGUGUUGUGAAAUGUAGACGCUCAACGUCUGCACUGCAGCGCGAACUGGUUUCCUUGAGUACGCACAAAGUGGGCGGAAUUCGUGGUGUAGCGGUGAAAUGCUUAGAUUCCACGAAGAACUCCGAUUGCGAAGGCAGCUCACUGGAGCGCAACUGACGCUGAAGCUCGAAAGUGCGGGUAUCGAACAGGAUUAGAUACCCUGGUAGUCCGCACGGUAAACGAUGGAUGCCCGCUGUUGGUCUGAAUAGGUCAGCGGCCAAGCGAAAGCAUUAAGCAUCCCACCUGGGGAGUACGCCGGCAACGGUGAAACUCAAAUGAAUUGACG